rnacentral:rRNA from 1 species
CAAGCCUGAUCCAGCCAUGCCGCGUGUGUGAGGAAGGCCUGCGGGUUGUAAAGCACUUUUGUCCGGAAAGAAAAGCUUAGGGUUAAUAACCCUGAGUCAUGACGGUACCGGAAGAAUAAGCACCGGCUAACUUCGUGCCAGCAGCCGCGGUAAUACGAAGGGUGCAAGCGUUACUCGGAAUUACUGGGCGUAAAGCGUGCGUAGGUGGUUUGUUAAGUCUGAUGUGAAAGCCCUGGGCUCAACCUGGGAAUGGCAUUGGAAACUGGCUUACUAGAGUGCGGUAGAGGGUAGCGGAAUUCCCGGUGUAGCAGUGAAAUGCGUAGAUAUCGGGAGGAACAUCCGUGGCGAAGGCGGCUACCUGGACCAGCACUGACACUGAGGCACGAAAGCGUGGGGAGCAAACAGGAUUAGAUACCCUGGUAGUCCACGCCCUAAACGAUGCGAACUGGAUGUUGGGGGCAACUUGGCCCUCAGUAUCGAAGCUAACGCGUUAAGUUCGCCGCCUGGGAAGUACGGUCGCAAGACUGAAACUCAAAUGAAUUGACGGGGGCAAGGGCGAAUUCUGCAGAUAUCCAUCACACUGGCGGCCGCUC